CCUGCCAGGCCUGACACAGUCUGUUUCUGCCUAUUGACUCACUAAAACUAUUACUAACGCUCCUUUCACUCUCAAAGUGAUCUGCUUGUAUGCUGAAUGUUUAAGAUCCCAGCUGUGGAGUCUUCAAGGAGAGGAGAGAAAGAUUUUUGUAGUUAUGGACCUCCUUGAGUCAGGAGAAUAAAACAGAAAAGUUCUACCUGAGAAAGAUGGGUCCUGGUAUUGGGGCAGCAUGGAACGUUCCUACUCAUGACCACAGAAUGUUCCAGAUGCUAACAUGAUGCCAACAGGACUUCCCUGGGCAGACGACCCCACCAAUGUGUCCUGGAGCCCCGCUCCCCAGAACCAUGCCCCACUAGGGAAAGAGAGAGACAGGCUGGGAGUAUGGAUCGACCUGCCAACGCCCAUGCUCAGAGGGGAAGCAGUUACAGAAGCCAGACCUUCCACCUUCUGCAUCCCACAAUGACCCUAGGUCCAUACUCCCAGAGGGAUAAAGAAUGGGAAAGCUAUCAGGGGAGGGGAUGGGAUACAGAGUUCUGGUGGUGGGAAUUGUGUGGAGUUGUACCACUUUUAUCCUAUGGUUUUUGUCAAUGUUUCCUUUUUAUAAAUAAAGAAAACUAAUAAAACAGAAAAGAAAAGAAAAAAGGAAAAAAGUGGCCACCAGGAAUUAGUGGAUUUAUAGUGCCAGCACUGAGCCUCAGCAAUAACCCUGGAGGAAAAAAUAUAAAAAUAAAUUAAAAAUUUAAAAAAAAAGAAUAGGGCUUUUCCAAGCCUUUGUUUAUUUUUGGUGCCAAGGACUGAAUCCAGGGUCUCAUAUAAUGAGUCUUGUGCUUUAGCAAUCAGCUAUAUGACCAGCCCCUUCCAAGUGUG